GGUGAAUUAUUUUUGAUUUUUGCUCUAUUAAGUACCACAGGAACAGAAGAAUUGCCGUAUUUUAGCAGGCUACUAGACAGACGGGCCCAUUACUGUUUCUUGCUCAGUGGCCAGUACCACAUUUCAAAGAAAGGUUCAACAAAAUGAUGUAGUAACCCACCCACAGGAGUAGCUCUUCUAAACUUCCAGCAACUGAUGCCUGAUUUAUGCCUUCAGUGGGGGCAAUGAAAACCCCAAAUGGCUUCACACAUCUCUUCCCACAAUGACUUUUGAGUAUUUGACAGCCUGCAGACCAGCUUUGGGAUGAACUCACAUCUUGUGGUUUUGGUUUUGAUUUUAUUUUUUAAAGAAAAGUUAGUGGCAUUUCAGGUAUUUAGUUGGUUGCUUCAGGAGAAGAACACCUGUAUUUAUCUCCGUAACAGAUGCUAGAACGGCAUUUUCCUCACACUGGAGGAAAAAGGGAUUUUACCUGAAAGGAAAAGAGAUUUUCCUCACACUGUUCUAUACGGAUAAUUUAACCACAGUAUUGACAGAGGGAAUUAAGUCAAGUCCAUCUCAUCUCCUCAUUUUGGCUUCUCAAACUCCAGUCCUUAUUCAAUGGGCCCAGAGCACAACAGGGUUUAAUGAUACAGCUACAUUCUCACUUUUAGUAAAUGGGUUAAGACUAACAGCUGAUUUUAUGUGUAGGAAUGACAUCUGCCAGUUGCUAAGCACGAUUAUCUUUCAGUCACUAGUAUGCAGAAUUGUCUUCAUUAACAAGUAAAAAUCUUAUGGGAUUUUUAAUUGCCCAUAAAUUUUUUUCUCCUGUGAUUCAAUUUUCACGUGGGUAUUUAAUACUGGUAAGACUGUAAACUCUAUUAAUUUGGUCAUGAGUAGCAUAUCUUGAGGUGUUUGAGUGCUCUUACUGAGGUUUUUCUGGUGUUCAUUUACACUAUUCCAGAUUUUAUUUAGUGGACCAUGAUUUUUUUUCUAUUUUUUUUUAGUAUGGAUUUAAUUCAUUUGGCAACACUACUUAGGCAUGGAUGGCUGAUGGACCAUUACAAGUCAUUGGCUACAGAGAAGGUUAAUCAGAGAAAUGUUCUCAUUAACCUGAAUCUGAUUCUCCUCUUCAUUACUGAAAACUAGAUCAUUUUCACUAUGCAGGAGAGAUCAAGACUAAAGGAGCCCAGGGUGUCCUCUAUUUGCAGCCACUGGACUUUACUGCAAGAUUCAUGCUGUAGAGAGAGCUGGAAGCAGUACUAACAAUUUAUCUGGAGAAACCAAGAGCACCACCCAGUUACAGGCAGUUGGCCACAUGGAGAUCUAGGUUAAAACUACCUUGGCUGGAGAAGAGAGUGGAAGCAAGGCUACCACAGAAAAAGAUGUGUCCUUGCUGCUCCUAGAAAGGAAGGAAAGCAUGAAGGCAUCUGCAGCCUCUUGGGGCUGGGAAGGGACUUUCAUCCCCAGCCCUUUCGUGUCUGUGAGGUAAGAAGGCUCCUCUGGUGACUUUCCUAGAUCCCAUCCAGAGGCAUGUGGGUUCAUUUGUUCAACAGUAAGCCCAGGUACACAACCCAGGGCUGGGCAUUUCAGCAACUGCCAAGAUCGUGGCUUCAUCCCAUGUGACAGUCAGCCUGACUCAUUCUCCAGAGACUUCCAAUGACUUCAGAGGAGCAUAGCAAGGUUAUGCUCCUGGCUAAGGUUCCCAAAGUCAGUGGGAUGUAGCUGGAUAAAAGUGCUAAAAGUUCAAAACUGCAACAUUCGCUAUUGCAACAUCUAAAGCUUUUUAUGGACUGAUCUGCUGGGGAAAUUCUGGUUAGGUAAACGCAGUGGUGUUUUACAAUUGACUCUAAUGGCCCUAGAAGUCAUUUAAAGAAUUCUGUACAAAAGCUAAUGCUGCUACUCUAGGUAUUAACUGGCUUUGGUCUGAUAAUAUUGAGAGAUCAAAGCCACCCCUAAGUCUUGCUGUAAUGAAAGAUAGGUUUCAACUGUUCCUUAAAAGCAGUGAAUCUUUUCAGUUCUUUUUCUUCUAAAAGCUCUUUCUAUUAGACGUAUUUUGAUAGAGAGAUGUAUUUCUAUUAGAUGUAUUUCAAAAAUAGGAAAUGUCCCUAUUUUUUUUUUUCCACUAAAUGCUCCUAUCUGUAUGUUAAAAAAACCUAGCAGGCUUGCAGGUACUGAAAAAAAAAAAGCCCUCAAGGGAACAGCAUUUUGAAAUGGAACAGGAUUUAAAGUGAGAAUUCAUGAAUAUCUCUUUUGCUGGACGUGACAGCAAAUCUUGCAGAGAUCUGUGGUGCAGAGAUCUGUGGUGCACAUAUCAGCACAGUCCAGGUGGGAGACAGCCGUGACUGCACAGCCCUCUGCACUCUAUAAUGGUGGAGAAGGAGGGCAGCACUCAGAGCAGUAACUGUGAGCCCAGCCCAGCUCUGAGGUGAGGAAGAUGAGGGUACUCCAGUACAGGUGGUGCAGGUAAAGGUGCAGAGGCCUGUGACUGGAGAGCAGGCUGUCCACAACAGCUCCUAAACUACGGUCCUGCUCCAUGAAACUGGGCCACUCUCAGCUUUUUGGCUUGGUUCUUAAUGAAGAAAUUCAGGAUUGUGGGAACCUCUUUGAGCUCAGCACUAGCACACGUAUCACUAGCCAUCUGUUUUGCCUUUUGAUGGUUAGUUCUUUAUUAAUGUUGAGUCUGCAGGUGUCUUCUGAAUACAAAUCACUGUACUGCACUGUGUAUCUCUAAGACAAAAAGCAAUUACAGGCACUGCCAACUUGAAAACAUCUAUCCUAAAGAAGGUCUUGCAGGUCCAGGGCAUGAAGUGUAGCUGUGAGACAGACCAAUGAAGAGUUAUUCCAGUGCUCCCCUGUUAUGUAGCUUAGCUCAGUUCACUUCGUCUGACCAUGCCUUCAUCUCACUCUCUCUACACAGUAUCCUUAAGCCAAUGGAUGACAAAAGUCCCAGGAGCUGAGAACUACCAGCUGCCCUAGGUCCAUACUCCAGCACAGCACAGACUAUGGGGUGGUAGGAAGUAUGGCACCACACAAGAUUCUGGUCUAAAUUUGUCUCCCUGAUUGAAAGUCACUAAGGCCCAAGAAUGUACAACGAGAUAGUUGAUUGUUCUACUUAACAGAACUUUGGUUGUAUUGUCAUCGGGUUCCUUUCUGUCACUGAGCAGCUGGACAAAGCAGUGCCCUGCCACACAAACAUACAUCAGCUGAAAGCCUGGAAAUACUUCUAUGUAGAGAUGGAGGGAACACAGCUGCUUGAUACAGAAAGCAGAUGAAAAGGUAAAUGUGUGAAUAGAGUUUAUGUGGAGCGGAGGAGGCACAAAAUAAUGAAUGUCAUAGAAAAACAAGGUCUCCUAUUUGUUCCUCUGCAUAAUGCCAAAACAAGACAAUUUUAAAUGGGAGAGAAAAGCAGCACAUCCCGAGUGGUGCAUUAUUAAUUUACAGUAUUAACCGAUGCAUCAAAAUGAAGGAUUUAAUAAAAAGACAAGUAAAGAAAUGUCUUUGUAUGGAGAACAAGAAAAACCUAAACCCUGCUGACAGCACCAAGUGACAAAAAAACAUGACCCUAACCAACUGCUAGUGGGUUUCUUGUCUCUUCACUUUAGCAAUGAUCUGAACAAGAGUUUAAG
ensembl:lncRNA